rnacentral:rRNA from 1 species
GACGAACGCUGGCGGCGUGCCUAACACAUGCAAGUCGAACGAAGCUCUGCGAUACAAGACUUCGGUCAAGUUGAACGGAUGACUUAGUGGCGGACGGGUGAGUAACGCGUGAGGAACCUGCCUUUCAGUGGGGGACAACAGUUGGAAACGACUGCUAAUACCGCAUAAUGUAUUCUGACCGCAUGAUCGGAAUACCAAAGAUUUAUUGCUGAAAGAUGGCCUCGCGUCUGAUUAGAUAGUUGGUGAGGUAACGGCCCACCAAGUCGACGAUCAGUAGCCGGACUGAGAGGUUGAACGGCCACAUUGGGACUGAGAUACGGCCCAGACUCCUACGGGAGGCAGCAGUGGGGAAUAUUGGGCAAUGGGGGAAACCCUGACCCAGCAACGCCGCGUGAAGGAAGAAGGCUUUCGGGUGUAAACUUCUUUUACCAGGGACGAAGGACGUGACGGUACCUGGAGAAAAAGCAACGGCUAACUACGUG